GCGGGGUAACGGCCCACCAAGGCAUCGACGGGUAGCUGGUCUGAGAGGAUGAUCAGCCACACUGGGACUGAGACACGGCCCAGACUCCUACGGGAGGCAGCAGUGGGGAAUCUUGCACAAUGGGCGAAAGCCUGAUGCAGCAACGCCGCGUGCGGGAAGACGGCCUUAGGGUUGUAAACCGCUUUCAGCAGGGAAGAAACUGACGGUACCUGCAGAAGAAGAUGCGGCCAACUACGUGCCAGCAGCCGCGGUGACACGUAGGCAUCGAGCGUUAUCCGGAUUUAUUGGGCGUAAAGAGCUCGUAGGCGGUUCGGUAAGUCGGGUGUGAAAACUCUGGGCUCAACCCAGAGAUGCCACUCGAUACUGCUGUGACUCGAGUGCGGUAGGGGAGCGGGGAAUUCCUGGUGUAGCGGUGAAAUGCGCAGAUAUCAGGAGGAACACCAGUGGCGAAGGCGCCGCUCUGGGCCGUAACUGACGCUGAGGAGCGAAAGCAUGGGUAGCAAACAGGAUUAGAUACCCUGGUAGUCCAUGCCGUAAACGUUGGGCACUAGGUGUGGGUCUCUACCAACGAGAUCCGCGCCGUCGCUAACGCAUUAAGUG
rnacentral:rRNA from 1 species